rnacentral:rRNA from 1 species
UACGUAGGGUGCAAGCGUUGUCCGGAAUUAUUGGGCGUAAAGAGCUCGUAGGCGGUUUGUCGCGUCGAAUGUGAAAACCCGGGGCUCAACCCCGGGCCUGCAUUCGAUACGGGCAGACUAGAGUUCGGUAGGGGAGUCUGGAAUUCCUGGUGUAGCGGUGAAAUGCGCAGAUAUCAGGAGGAACACCGGUGGCGAAGGCGGGACUCUGGACCGAUACUGACGCUGAGGAGCGAAAGCGUGGGGAGCGAACAGG